rnacentral:rRNA from 1 species
AUGAGUAUGAUAUGUUGGAACUGCUGAGGUGCGGGUAAAGCCUCGACAGUUCGUGAACUUCGUGAAAUAGUGAUGAAAUUUACCCCUAACGUGCUUUGUAUCGUUGAAACUCGGAUUAACAAGGCUAGGGUAGAGAGUUUGGCUAGUUCUAUAGGCUAUGAUGAAGCCUAUGCAAUAAAUAGUAAUGGUAGAAGUGGAGAAAUUGGUAUCUUUUGGAAUAAUGCAAUAAAUGUUGAGAUUUUGGAAUAA